GCCGGUCUCCGUCACACACAGACCCCGUGAGAUUGCCUGUGCGACGCCGUUAAACGUCCCCCUGUAGACAGAGCUGGGGGAAAGGCUGCCCUUUGGAACUUUGUUCCCAUGUCCCGUGUCCCACGCGGCAACCUCACUUCAGUGCUCCCUGCGCAGAAUCGGAGGACUGGCUAAGACAUGGUCCCCGUCUUCCGGGGCUUUCUGUGUCCGCGGAGUCAGCAGACCCAGGAGGAGAGGACUGAGCGAGGCAUGAUGUCAGAAGUCCACACUGGCACCCGUGGGGCAGGAAGAUGCCUCGGAGCUUCAGCUAAAGGCCCACAGCUGAGGUCAGCUCCCCGUUCUCAACAGGGCGGCCUGCCCUCUCUCCAGGGCGCACCCAGAGCAGCCAAGCCUCGGCGCCUCGCCACCGUCAGCCGGUCCCACCCCUCCAAGUGGGGCCGGGCCCUGCGAGCUGCAGCUUACGUGCAGGUGAGUAAACUGAGGCUUAGCGAGGUGAACUGACAUCCUGAGAGGGAAUGGGAACCCUUGGCUGACUCCAGCUGCCCUGGGCCUCGCGCUGCUCACAGCAUCGUCCCCAGCCCCGUGCCACCUGGGACCUGGCCACCAAGGUGUGGCCACCAUCGGUGACGUGUGUAAGUACAUGAAGCAGCAGAAAUGGGUCUUCUUGGAGUUCUGUGAGCUGCUUCUGGAUGACCAGUUGAUCGAGCAGGUAACACAGCUUUUGAACGUCUGAUGGCCACUUCCACAGCUCAAGGAGCUUCGGCACAGGUGCUGUGGAAGGACUCUCUGACAAAUAUAUGGAAUGGACCUGAUCCAGUCUUAAUCUGGGGUCGAGGUCAUGUUUGUGUUUUUCCUAGAAGUGCUGACUCCCCUCAGUGGCUUCCUGAACGUCUUGUUAAACAGAUAGAUGACAAGAAAGACCCCGCAGCUGAUUCGGAGGAUGCGGCGCCUCUCGCUGAAUGCAAAGACUGCUCCAGGGAUGGAUUCCGAGAGAAGAGGUCAGAAAAGGAGGCAUCCAGCACGAAGGACUCGA